UACGGGGGGGGCAAGCGUUGUUCGGAAUUACUGGGCGUAAAGGGCUCGUAGGUGGCCAACUAAGUCAGACGUGAAAUCCCUCGGCUUAACCGGGGAACUGCGUCUGAUACUGGAUGGCUUGAGUUCGGGAGAGGGAUGCGGAAUUCCAGGUGUAGCGGUGAAAUGCGUAGAUAUCUGGAGGAACACCGGUGGCGAAGGCGGCAUCCUGGACCGGUAUUGACGCUGAUGCGCGAAAGCCAGGGGAGCAAACGGG
rnacentral:rRNA from 1 species